rnacentral:rRNA from 1 species
UACGUAGGGGGCAAGCGUUGUCCGGAUUUAUUGGGCGUAAAGAGCGUGUAGGCGGCCAUGCAGGUCCGCUGUGAAAACUCGAGGCUCAACCUCGAGAUGUCGGUGGAAACCGUAUGGCUAGAGUCCGGAAGAGGAGAGUGGAAUUCCUGGUGUAGCGGUGAAAUGCGCAGAUAUCAGGAAGAACACCCGUGGCGAAGGCGGCUCUCUGGGACGGUACUGACGCUGAGACACGAAAGCCAGGGGAGCGAACGGG